CUAAUAUUUUUUCUUUUUUUUUUCUUUAUCAGUCAGACUCUAUGGAGGAGAGUUCUCCCGGUCAACCCAGAGCCAGAGGAACGGAGGAGAUGGAAGUUGGGGGUGGAAGAGAAACGCCAUCUCGUCCUGUUGCCAGUGAGAGGGGUCAUCAACGAUCUUCCCGAGGACGCCAUGGAGCACGCGGCGGUCGUGGUCGUGGCUCCCAAACCUCCACCAGAAGGCAUGAGGAGGACGUUGAACGAUUUUAUAUCGACAAUGAUCUCCUCAUCCAUAUGGUGGAGGAGCGUACACCGUUGUGGGACCACACCGACCGCCGCCAUGCAGACCAUGAUCUAACACUGCUCCUCUGGAACGAGAUAUGUGCGGCCAUUCUGCCCAACUGGGAUGACCUCCAAGAAAGGCAACAGGGCCAAUGCCGAGAUACGAUCAUGGUUCGGUGGCGCUCAAUCAGGGACCGCUACAAGAAGGCCUUUAAUGAGGAACUUUGGCGUCCGAGUGGGUCGGGAGGAACCUCAAGGCGUGAAUACCGCUAUUCUGCCGCCUUGGGGUUCCACGAAUGACCAUUGAGAUGCAAAGGCACAUCUUCAUCUCCGAGCAAGGCCGGGAGCUCUCCUUCCCGAUCACGACACCUCCUAUCAGUCAGACUCUAUGGAGGAGAGUUCUCCCAGUCAACCCAGAGCCAGAGGAACAG